rnacentral:rRNA from 1 species
AUUGAACGCUGGCGGCAGGCCUAACACAUGCAAGUCGAGCGGAAGAAGGGAGCUUGCUCCUGGAUUCAGCGGCGGACGGGUGAGUAAUGCCUAGGAAUCUGCCUGGUAGCGGGGGAUAACGUCCGGACACGGGCGCUAAUACGGCAUAAGCCCUGAGGGCGAACGUGGGGGAUCUUCGGAUCUCACGCUAUCAGACGAGCCUAGGUCGGAUUAGCUAGUUGGCGGGGUAAAGGCCUACCAAGGCGACGAUCCGUAACUGGUCUGAGAGGAUGAUCAGUCACACUGGAACUGAGACACGGUCCAGACUCCUACGGGAGGCAGCAGUGGGGAAUAUUGGACAAUGGGCGAAGGCCUGAUCCAGCCAUGCCGCGUGUGUGAAGAAGGUCUUCGGAUUGUAAAGCACUUUAAGUUGGGAGGAAGGGCAGUAAGUUAAUACCUUGCUGUUUUGACGGUACCAACAGAAUAAGCACCGGCUAACUUCGUG